AGACCAGGUGUAUGCUUUUGUAUUUUAUAUGAUAAAACUUUAUUGUAGUUGCGGCCUAUAAUAAGAUUAGAUUAGGACUAUUUUGUAUGAAGACCCUGCCUCCGUCAACGGUUCGCGGGACGAGUAUUUCCCCCCUUAUACAACCUGUAUAUUUAGAUGGCAAUAAAUAAUCCAGGACUAGAACAUCGGUGCUCCAGGCUAUCCGCUUCAUAGUUGCAGUUGAUGGAAGAUUCAUCAACUCAGACUUGACUUCACUCGUGCUGCGAUGGCUGUGGUUUUCGCAGCAUUUGUCAUAUUUUUUAUUUAUUACCCAUCAGAAGCUUCAAUCACAAUGGAAUUUAUGCAGAGGUGUUUCUGAAAAAUAAAUGCAGAAAAAGGGACAAAAAAUACCAGAACAAAGAAAAACGUGGCACACACCCAUCGAAGAAUAUUAAAGUUCAAUGAGCUUAUGGAAUAAGGAGUGAAAAAGCAUUCACACUCUUCUGUAUAAAUAAUUAAUGUUAAAUUUUGUGUUAAAAAAGUUAUAAAUCUGUUUUUCAAGAAUAAAGCUUUUUGAAAGUUAA